rnacentral:lncRNA from 1 species
GUCUUAGUGAGGUUCAACGCGACUUGUGUACGCCCUAUAUUAAAAUGAAAUUUAUCAAAACACACUUUAAAGUUGAACCAUCUAACAUUUCACUUUGUUGGCUCUGUGUGGUCAUUAAAGGCCUUCUAAAUGCUUGUAAAAUGAAAUUAUAUAGUAGAACAUGAACUCAAUGAGAGUGUGGUCCCAUGUGGAUCAUACUAAGUAAACGAUGUUUGUUGAUACUGGACUGUAUUUAACGUGCUAGGUCAGUCUAGUUGGGAAAAACCCAUGUUACAUGGACAUAGAAAAACAAACCGAUGAGGUUUAGAUAUGUUAUCCUUUGAUGAGGUCGGAGUAUGCCCGAAAGAGUGAGCCGAUGGAUUGUGUGACCCUUGUAUGUGAUGGAAGCCUUUAGAGACGGAGCCAAAGCCUCGUCAUUUGUAUCAUCACAGUAUGCACAUUGAUAGCCAUUUUCAAGAAAGUGAACCAUCUUUCAAGAUGAAGUGUGUGCAUGUGCGAGAGAUACCCCCUGUGCACGAUUGAGUAAUAGAUUGCAUCAG